rnacentral:rRNA from 1 species
AUUGAACGCUGGCGGCAUGCUUUACACAUGCAAGUCGAACGGUAACAGGCCGCAAGGUGCUGACGAGUGGCGAACGGGUGAGUAAUGCAUCGGAACGUGCCCAGUCGUGGGGGAUAACGCAGCGAAAGCUGUGCUAAUACCGCAUACGAUCUGGGGAUGAAAGCGGGGGACCGUAAGGCCUCGCGCGAUUGGAGCGGCCGAUGUCAGAUUAGGUAGUUGGUGGGGUAAAGGCUCACCAAGCCGACGAUCUGUAGCUGGUCUGAGAGGACGACCAGCCACACUGGGACUGAGACACGGCCCAGACUCCUACGGGAGGCAGCAGUGGGGAAUUUUGGACAAUAGGCGCAAGCCUGAUCCAGCAAUGCCGCGUGCAGGAAGAAGGCCUUCGGGUUGUAAACUGCUUUUGUACGGAGCGAAAAGGCUCUCUCUAAUACAGGGGGCUCAUGACGGUACCGUAAGAAUAAGCACCGGCUAACUACGUGCCAGCCGCCGCCGUAA